CUCAAAUUUGAAAUCUGGGGUCCCCGAUCCCCGAGUUGUAAUUUCGAGAGGCGACUUCAGGGGGAGUCCCGGCACGUGUUCCUUGGAACAGGACGUCAGAGAGGGUGAGAAUCCCGUUCAUUGCCGCCGGCCUUCCCCCGCCGUGAAGCGCCUUCGACGAGUCGAGUUGUUUGGGAAUGCAGCUCCAAGUGGGUGGUAAAUUUCAUCUAAGGCUAAAUACUGGCGGGAGACCGAUAGCGCACAAGUAGAGUGAUCGAAAGAUGAAAAGCACUUUGAAAAUAGAGUCAAAAAGUACGUGAAAUUGUUGAAAGGGAAGCGCUUGAGACCAGACUCAGGGCGGGUCACACAGCCUUGCCCCCCGACCGGGCGGCGCACUUGGCCCGACCCUGGGCCAGCAUCAGUUGCGGGUGGCGGGAAAAAGGCGCCGGGAAUGUGCCUCCCCCCUCCGGGGAGCGUUAUAGCCCGACGUCGGAUGCCGCCGACCACGACUGAGGACCGCGCUUCGGCAAGGAUGCUGGCUUAAUGGUCUCCAGCGACCCGUCUU
rnacentral:rRNA from 1 species